UUGCUAGGUCUCACAUGCUCAUUUUUGACAAUGUACCUAUAUGCAUCCAAAUUCAUUGCAGCAAGACAGAGCACUACAACGUCGGCUUUGAUACGGAACGUUUCUAGCAUUUGAUGCAUGCUUUCUCGUUCUGCCUCUAUUUCAUUCUCGAAUUCAACAAGAGUGAUAAGCCGUAGCCUACAACCUUGUUUCCAAUCUGAAGCUGUAUGAAGGAUCCAACUAAGUUGAAAAACCAUAGUAUACGUCUCGAAAUUCGUCGCAAACGUUGGUGUACUUUCAUUGACUUCUGACCCCACACCUGAUAUUCUAUGAAUGGGAAACAUAUCUAUAUAUUGCUUUUCUCCCUUUCUUUUUGGCCAAUUAAGUCUAUCGAACCCAUUAGUUACCAUAACGUCCACCGAACCAACAAGCAUGUCUUCCAAUAUCUGUACCCACUUCACAGGUAGUAUAUCAUGCUCCACAAAUUCUUUUUUACUGUCAGAUUCUGAUUCUUCACUAGUAUUCUCAAGAGAGAAAGAAGAACCCGAGUAUAUACGAUGUCUACGAUAAUUCGUAUUAAUAAAUGUUAGCACAGCUAUGUUUGGACGAAUUCCCCCCAAGCCUGCAGAAGAUAUAAGACCACGGAUACCCCAAACUUCGUCUGGAGCAAUAGUUAGUUCAACAAAUGCUUUGAUACCUCGAUCAAGGACAAACUGAUGCCAAAGACGUUGCUGCUUUCUUAAAUCAUCCAUGCUAGCCUGAAAAUCAUCGGAUA